AUUCCCUUGAUUUUGGGGAAAAUAAAAAGCGUGCGGUACUUAUCAUACAUGCUAAGGAUAGAAUUUAUUGAAUGAUAUAUUCAUUGGGGAAUUUUGAAUUGUAUAUUCGAUGUUGUCCUGGACAGGUGAGUAAUAUUCUGGAACUAACCGAGCCCUCGCGGGGGUUUGAUAGGCCGGAAUCGUAUUAGGUUGAAGGAGAAAUAAUAACCUCCUUGCCGAAAAUGCGUAGCCGAAAGGCCACACUUUCACUGAAAUAAGGGGAAGACUCAUAAAGAGGCAGCAGUAGAGAAUCUUGUGCAAUAUAUGAAAGUAUGACACAGAGAUAUCGCAUAUAUGGGCUGUCUAAUAUACGUGCCAGCAGAUGCGGUUAUACGUAAGGCCUAAGUUUUUAUUGUAAAACAGGUGUAAAGGGUGUGUAGGUGAUUAAUAAUUUAGAGUUAAAAAAAAGUAGAUAGAACUUUUAUGUANCGGUAGAAUGUUUUAAUAUAAAAUGGAAUACCAAAGGCGAAAGUAGUCUACUAGCUUUAACUGACACUGAGACACGAAAGCAUGGGGAGCUAAUAGGAUUAGAUACCCUAGUCGUCCAUGCUGUAAACGAUGAAUAUUAGAUAUAUAGAAAAUGUGUCUUGAAAAACUUCCAAAUUCCACCUGAAGAGUACGAUUGCAAGAUUAAAAUUCAAAAAAUUUGGCGGUUCACUAUUCCAAUUAGAGGAGCGUGUAGUUUAAUUCGAUGUUACACGAGAAACCUUACCAAAACUCGAACCCUAACCGGAGAAUAAAGAUUAAAAUAAAUCCAAGUUAGGCCAGGUAUUGCAUGGCCGUCGUCAGUUCGUGUUGUGAGAGAAAUAAAACGGACUUAACCCUUUAAUGUAAGUCGGUAUAUUAUUAAUAAUUAAAUUUAAAGGACGACGUCAGGCCCUUAUGAUCUCUAUGUUUUGGGCAGCGUAUGCGCUACAGUGUUUUAGAUAAAGGGGGGGAUAAAAAGGAAAUAAAACUUUAAAAUAUUACUCGAAAAGAAAAUUGAAAUAAUUUCUUGAAGUUGGAUUUAAUAGUAAUCGAAAAGUAGAGCGUUUCGGUGAAUAUGGCCCUAGUGUUCGUACAAAUCGCCCGUCAACUCUGCCUAGUAAAAAAGCUCAAAGUAUAAAAAGAAGCUAUAAUCUAAUAGCCCGUAUAAUAAAAUAAAUUAUCGGCACUUGGAAAGUCAUUAUUUUAGUCGGAUUUAAUAUUACAGUAAUUUUAUAAGGCUGAGUAAGUCGUAACACAGCGAGGGUAUUGGAAGAUGUCCUCGGACUUAU
rnacentral:rRNA from 1 species